rnacentral:rRNA from 1 species
GUGGACUCUCAAGCGUGAGGUAAGGGCGUUUGGUGGAUGCCUUGGCAUGUACAGGCGAUGAAGGACGUGGCACGCUGCGAUAAGCGUCGGUGAGUUGUGAGCAAACUUUGACCCGACGAUUUCCGAAUGGGGAAACCCACCUAUCCCGAUUAUUCCUACGAUGGUUCGCCAUGGUCGGAGUAAUUGGGAAACAGGUAUCACUUAGCUGAAUAAAAUAGGCUUCGUGAAGCGAACCCGGAGAACUGAAACAUCUCAGUACCUGGAGGAAAAGACAUCAACCGAGAUUCCGUUAGUAGUGGCGAGCGAACGCGGACCAGGCCAGUGCCUUCAUUUCAACUAGCAGAACACUCUGGGAAGAGUGGCCAUAGCGGGUGACAGUCCCGUAUGCGAAAGUGAUGAUGAAGGACUCGAGUAGGGCGGGGCACGUGAAACCCUGUCUGAACAUGGGGGGACCACCCUCCAAGCCUAAAUACUCGUACAUGACCGAUAGCGAACUAGUACCGUGAGGGAAAGGUGAAAAGCACCCCGAUGAGGGGAGUGAAACAGUACCUGAAACGGAUUGCCUACAAGCAGUUGGAGG